AAACGGAGGGUGCGAGCGUUAAUGGGAAUUACUGGGCGUAAAGGGUGCGUAGGCGGCUUGAUAAGUCGGAUGUGAAAGCCCCGGGCUUAACCUGGGAAUUGCAUUCGAUACUGUCAGGCUAGAGUAUGUCAGAGGUUGGCGGAAUUCCUGGUGUAGCGGUGAAAUGCGUAGAUAUCAGGAGGAACACCAGUGGCGAAGGCGGCUAACUGGGGCAAUACUGACGCUGAGGCACGAAAGCGUGGGGAGCAAACAGGAUUAGAAACCCUAGUAGUCC
rnacentral:rRNA from 1 species